CCACGGCAAGCCUUCCAGACGAGAUUGCAUUUCAAGUUUACGUCGCCUUCGACAACGUCCUGCACACCGCUUUCAGCAACGAAAAGGAAGCACAGAAGUACGCCGUCGUGUUCUUCAAUGCGAUAAAUCUAAUUUUUCAAAACAUGACAAAUCCGAAAAUCAAGUUUGAAGUCGUGAUGUUCCACGGUCAGUUCUUAAGCUUUACGGGGCCUGCUCUUACUUUGGAAUCCAAUGAAGUGGACGCCCACAAAAGCCUCACUUCAAUCGAUAAGUUCAUCAUGGACAAAGCGCAGUUUAGUGCCUCAGACAUCCUGUUCGUCUUU